GACGAACGCUGGCGGCGUGGAUUAGGCAUGCAAGUCGAACGGUAUCAUCCUUUCGGGGACGAGAGAGUGGCGAACGGGUGAGUAACACGUAGGUGAUCUACCCUCAAGACGGGGACAACCCAGGGAAACUUGGGCUAAUACCGGAUGUGAGCUAUCGUGAGAUAGUUUGAAAGGUGGCUUCGGCUGCCGCUUGAGGAUGAGCCUGCGUCCUAUUAGCUAGUUGGUGAGGUAACGGCUCACCGAGGCAGUGAUAGGUAGGCGGCCUUAACGGGUGGUCGCCCACACUGGGAUUGAGAUACGGCCCAGACUCCUACGGGAGGCAGCAGUCGAGAAUAGUCUACAAUGGUCGAAAGACUGAUAGUGCGACGCCGCGUGAACGAAGAAGCCCUUCGGGUGUAAAGUUCUUUUAUAUGUGAGCAGUGACAUCUAUAUUAAUAGUAUGGGUGUAGAGAUAUUAGCAUAUGAAUAAGCAACGGCUAACUCCGUGCC
rnacentral:rRNA from 1 species